ensembl:misc_RNA 7SK 7SK RNA
UGAAGGUGAUCUUACUGUGCUGUCUGUCACCCACUGAUCUCCAAGAAUAAUGUGGCUGAUCUGACUGGCGGAGUAGGCAUAUCCUUUCUCUGCA